rnacentral:rRNA from 1 species
GAAUGAGAGCUUCGGCAGGAUUUUUAUCUAUCUUAGUGGCGGACGGGUGAGUAACGUGUGGGCAACCUGCCCUGUACUGGGGAAUAAUCAUUGGAAACGAUGACUAAUACCGCAUGUGGUCCUCGGAAGGCAUCUUCUGAGGAAGAAAGGAUUUAUUCGGUACAGGAUGGGCCCGCAUCUGAUUAGCUAGUUGGUGAGAUAACAGCCCACCAAGGCGACGAUCAGUAGCCGACCUGAGAGGGUGAUCGGCCACAUUGGGACUGAGACACGGCCCAAACUCCUACGGGAGGCAGCAGUGGGGAAUAUUGCACAAUGGGCGAAAGCCUGAUGCAGCAACGCCGCGUGAAGGAUGAAGGGUUUCGGCUCGUAAACUUCUAUCAAUAGGGAAGAAAUAAAUGACGGUACCUAAAUAAGAAGCCCCGGCUAACUACGUGCCAGCAGCCGCGGUAAUACGUAGGGGGCAAGCGUUAUCCGGAAUUACUGGGUGUAAAGGGAGCGUAGGCGGCAUGGUAAGCCAGAUGUGAAAGCCUUGGGCUUAACCCGAGGAUUGCAUUUGGAACUAUCAAGCUAGAGUACAGGAGAGGAAAGCGGAAUUCCUAGUGUAGCGGUGAAAUGCGUAGAUAUUAGGAAGAACACCAGUGGCGAAGGCGGCUUUCUGGACUGAAACUGACGCUGAGGCUCGAAAGCGUGGGGAGCAAACAGGAUUAGAUACCCUGGUAGUCCACGCCGUAAACGAUGAGUGCUAGGUGUCGGGGAGGAAUCCUCGGUGCCGCAGCUAACGCAAUAAGCACUCCACCUGGGGAGUACGACCGCAAGGUUGAAACUCAAAGGAAUU